rnacentral:rRNA from 1 species
AGUGGCGGACGGGUGAGUAACACGUAAGAAUUUGCCUCUAGGAGGGGGACAACAGCUGGAAACGGCUGCUAAUACCCCAUAUGCUUUCGAGUGAAAUGAAAUUUUUCGCCUAGAGAGAAGCUUGCGGCUGAUUAGCUUGUUGGUAAGGUAAUGGCUUACCAAGGCGACGAUCAGUAUCUGGUUUGAGAGGACGAUCAGACACACCGGAACUGAGACACGGUCCAGACUCCUACGGGAGGCAGCAGUGGGGAAUUUUCCGUAAUGGGCGAAAGCCUGACGGAGCAAUCUCGCGUGAGGGAUGACUGCCUAUGGGUUGUAAACCUCUUUUUUCAGGGAGGAAUCAAUGACGUGUACCUGAAGAAUAAGCAUCGGCUAACUCCGUGCCAGCAGCCGCGGUAAGACGGAGGAUGCAAGUGUUAUCCGGAAUCACUGGGCGUAAAGCGUCUGUAGGUGGUUUACUAAGUCAACUGUUAAAUCUUGAAGCUCAACUUCAAAAUCGCAGUCGAAACUAGUAGACUAGAGUAUAGUAGGGGUAAAGGGAAUUUCCAGUGGAGCGGUGAAAUGCGUAGAGAUUGGAAAGAACACCGAUGGCGAAGGCACUUUACUGGGCUAUUACUGACACUCAGAGGCGAAAGCUAGGGUAGCAAAUGGGAUUAGAUACCCCAGUAGUCCUAGCCGUAAACAAUGGAUACUAGAUGUU